rnacentral:rRNA from 1 species
UACGUAGGGUGCAAGCGUUGUCCGGAUUUAUUGGGCGUAAAGAGCUCGUAGGCGGUCUGUCGCGUCGAAUGUGAAAGCCCAGGGCUCAACCCUGGGUCUGCAUUCGAUACGGGCAGACUAGAGUAUGGCAGGGGAGACUGGAAUUCCUGGUGUAGCGGUGAAAUGCGUAGAUAUCAAGUGGAACACCAGUGGCGAAGGCGAGUCUCUGGACAUUUCCUGACGCUGAGGCACGAAAGCCAGGGGAGCAAACGGG